GUACACAAGUCUAUGGCCAAAAGACUACAAAAGACUGGCCUUCCAAAAAGAAGCGGUCCUAACUGACCUACGCUUCCGAUCACCUCCUCUCAGCUCCAGGUCCUCCACUUGACGACCCUGAAAAUGUUGUCCCACAACGGGGUGAGAUAUCAUCUCAGCGAGUCUAAGCUCUAAACCCCAAUUAGGAGGGAAAUACGCCAACAAGUGUCCUAAUCACACAAUCACACAAUCAAUGAAACUUACCUCGUCUCAGAUCCACCCUGCAGGUCAGUACAAUUUAUCUCACAAACAACAUGAGAGCAUGAGCAACAAAUAAGCUCCAAUAACUGAAACGCCACACUCAAUUAAUCAUGCGUUCCUAGUUUUGAUCUCGGCAUAUAGCACGGCCUACUCUCAAUUCGGUGGUCUUCUGGCAUUGCCAGGCAUCGUCUCACCCCAUUGAGCACGGCACGUGUCUUUAUCAGACGGCUUUCCUAAAGGAGCAUAGGGUCCAGAAUCAACUGCGACCGGCUUCCCGUUGUCCAGGGGGUAUCCUAAAUAGGGAUAACGUCCAGCUCAACAGCCCGGGAUGAUUUCUCAUAACCAUCACAUGAUCACUCCAAUAUGGCCCAGGACACUGUGCAUUGCACUCAAAUGCUUCAAUUAAAAUGGUGAGCCUGGCCUUUUUCUUUGUAUUAGAAAUUCACAUGAAAUUACUCGUGUGUGGGUACACGGUCAACUUGAUCCAGAAAAAGUGAUAUUCACCCUUUUUGAAAAUCCCACUAUUUCAUAUAGUACUAAAAACCAUUUUCGGUGUCAAAACCUGACACCUGGGAUUUUCUGAAUAAAUAUUGGAAAUUCACAAUCUUUUGGAAUUAAAUACAAAAAAUUCAAUCAACACUCAAUUUGCAUAAUUUAACACUCAAUUGCAUAAAUUAACCAUACCAUUGCAAUCAGCACGAAAUUCCGGUCACCGGCUAUCCUGGCCUAAUUUCCGGAAAAAUAAUUAAUAAUUAAGUAAUUACUGAAUUUAAUUAAAUAAAUCAAUUUCAGUUCUAAAAAUACUAACCUAGGCCAAAAUCAUUAAAUUAAAUACCAAUACGGACUCGGAAAAUUCCCGAACCCUUCUAGAUAAAUAGUACAAUUUAUUUAGGCUUUAGCUAAAUCAUGCUAACCACCUAACAUGCUCAAUUAAAUAAUUCAAUUUCUAAUUUAAUCUAACUAACCACCUAAUUCCUAAUAAAAUAAAUCUAACACCCCUUAAACGUCAUUAACCUACUAAGCAGAGUUUAGAGUAUAAACUCACCGGUGUAUCGCGAAAACCGGUUCACCGCGACGACGAUGAUGGCGGCCGAAAUCUUAAUUUUCGGCGGUGUUAGCGAACUCUCGGACCAGGCCUAAAACAGGCCCAACACAACUCAGCAAGGCUGAGUUUAGGUCUUGGGCUUCUGCAGGGCUGCUGGGCCUUGUUGGACUAAGCUUCAAAUGGGCUGAAUUUGCUGGACUGACUUAAUGGACUGAGUGGGCUGGCUCUUUGGGCUGAAAUGCUGCAAUUUACACGGGCCUGGAGACUGCUGGAUUGGGCCAGUUCUGGCCUGACUUGCGCUGAAGAAGCUGGGCCGAAUUGCUGGCUCGAGGACUGGAAUUGCUGGGCUGCUCGGUGGGCUUAUGGCUCCGGACGAUGAUGCUGCUUCGCUGAUGAGGUGUUGCGAACGAAGGAGAAGAUCGUGGCUUUGCUGGCUGCUUCAAUUGGCGAAAUGGAGAUGCUGAGUCGGUGGUAGAAGACAAACGACCAUGGAGCAGCAGGGUUUUGUCGUUGGCUUCGUGAGGACAAGAUGAAGACGCUGUGAAGAUGGGCCUCCGAUUGGAGACUUUGACCUCGUGCCGUCCAAGUAAGGACACGAAGAAGGUGGGGGCAGGCGCGCAGCUUGCGGAGUCAACUAGGUGGCCUCGCUUGAAAAUAAACAGAGAAGCAGCUUCGGCCACUUGCUAGAACGUGGAGCUUGACCGAAGAAAAUGAAGAAGACGGACGUAUGGCGAGGGCGUGGGCGUGGGCUACAAGCGGUCAACUGCUGGGCUUCGUGGGCUUGAAGGUUGACCAAGAGCUGCUGGUUGAGGGACAAGUGGCGAGGAUGAGGGGAAUUCGGUGGAUGGGCAGGCGUUUUCGGUGGGGGUGUCGUUGCAGAGGAGAAGACCGAAAUGC
rnacentral:lncRNA from 1 species